GCCGCCUUAGCUCAGUUUGGCCAGAGCGUCCGCCUUGUAAGCGGAGGGCCGUCGGUUCAAAUCCGACAGGCGGCU
rnacentral:tRNA from 1 species